rnacentral:lncRNA from 1 species
ACAAGAUGGACAAAUCUGAUCUGGAUCUAUUCUUUUUUUUUUUUUUAUUUGGUUGACUUUUGUGUUCUCAUGGAUCCGUGUGUUUGACUUUUUUAUUCUGAUUUGAUAUUGCAUUUCUUGGUGAUAUAUAUCUUUAUUUAAUCAUUUUGAUGUGUUUUUAUAACCUAAUUGGAUUGGAUCAUGCAUAGAUCAUACGUAGUCUUAUAAUUCUCUUGCUGGUUAAUGAAGAAUUGAAGAUUUAGAAAUCUGAUGAUUUGUAAAUGAUUAAGACGUGGUGGCGUGUGUAAUCUAUUUUAUGAUUUGAAGGAUUAAUGUUUAGCAGAAGGGAUGAAACAGUGAAAUGUCGAUGGAUUAUUUUCAGUGGCUGAAGUUCCUGUGUAAAAUAACCAAUUACAAUAGGAAAUUCACCAGAGUUAUGUUUUCAGGUUUAGCGUGUGUAGCUAAUUUGGGGACAAGCAAAGUGUGUUUCUCUAUUUGGCAAAUGAUGAAUCCUCUCUUUAUGUUAUUAAUUUGAGAAUUAAUAUUUGGUGAAUAGUUAGUUGUAUUUGUGUAUUGUGCUUGAUACACGCACAUGAAAGUUUUGGUCUUAUUUGACUUUUGGUAGUGCACCUUCUUUUUUUGUCGUUUACUUUAUUAAAUUACGUAGUGGGCAAGUAGUUUGUUUAUUUAUUUAUACAUUUAGGGAAAUAAUUUUAUUCUUUGUGAAGGAACAACGGUAUUUUCUUUGUCUUUUAUGGAACCUUGAUCAGGUUUAAGUCAGUUGCUUCUUCUCAUGCAUUUACAAUGUUCUGUAGUAAACUAUACUUGUUUGUAACUUCUUAUGUCAGAAUAUGAAGCAAUAGUAUGGUUAAAUCAAGAUAAUCGGAGUUUUUCUUGUAUGGGGGAUAAUUUUUCUUUUAGUAUAAUGAUCUGGCAUAUUUAAACUCAUUGUCUCUAUGCCUAGUAUGGUUAAAUAAGGACAAUGGGAGAUUUGUCUUGUAUAGGGGAUAAUUUUCUUUUAGUUUAGCCAUCUGGCAUAUAUUUAAACUCAUUAUCUCUAUGCCUACUAUGAAUAUUAGGUAUUUGGUUUUAGUGCUUUGACUGCGUAGGAAAAUGUAGUCAUUCUAAACAAAUGUAACAGCAUUUUUGUUUCGCAAAUCAACUCCAUUACCUUUCUACAUAUGAGUUUAUGGUCUAGAUAAUAUUUGAUAUUUGAUAAUAAGAUAUUUGGCAAUCUUACUGGCACUUUGACUGACUUUGAUUUAAUAGUUAGAUUGAGACAUGGAAAUUUUUCUAGAUUUCUCGUAAAAUGAUUCUGCAAGUUUUACUUAUUCAGACAUGGAAAGAGCAGUUCUGAUUUGUACAAUCUUACUGGCACUUUGACUGACUUUGAUUUAAUAGUUAGAUUGAGACAUGGAAAUCUUUCUAGAUUUCUCGUAAAAUGAUUCUGCAAGUUUUACUUAUUCAGACAUGGAAAGAGCAGUUCUGAUUUGUAUGUACAUGACAUUGGUUGCUGAUUGAAUCGUCAUUGUCUUAACAGUAUUGAUCAGUUUAGUUAUUAUGCUUGUUGCAGUAUAAGUAACAUGUGACAUCAAAAUGUUAAUUCUGAAGCUUAUGGCUGCAGAUAUUUGUAGCUAUCCACCAGAUAAACAAAAGUUAUGGCCCAUGGUUUGAGAAACUUUAAGAGAAUUUUGUUUUUUUCUCUUUUUUUUUCUCAUUGUAGUGCUCAACAAUUUCCUUGUUUCUUGACUUCGUGUUGUUUCAGUCACUUGCUUCAGAAAUUAUCUGAAAUAAUAUUCAGAGGAUUUCGUAGUACCUGGUUUAAUUUGUUGUUAUUUAUUACCCAUCAUUUGUUGGUCAACUAUAGACAAUUGUGUUACUGUUUUGUUGAAAGUCUUCACUAUUUUUAUGGAUAUUGUAUUAACUAUGGAACUGGAUGUUUGGUUGCUGCAGCCUAUUGUGUGGUUGCUGUUGAAUCUGCUGGCAGGCAAAUUCCAAUUGCCUUUCUGGAGCGAGUUAAGGAGGAUUUCAACAAGAGAUAUGGUGGAGGAAAAGCUGCAACGGCUGUUGCAAAUAGCCUGAACAAGGAGUUUGGGUACUAUAUUAGUUCUCUUCAUUGAGGAGUACUUUUUUUAUUGUUAUUUUUUUACAUUUUUGUCUGCACAUUACAGGUCUAAACUAAAGGAGCACAUGCAGUAUUGUGUGGAUCAUCCUGAAGAGAUCAGCAAGCUUGCCAAAGUCAAAGCUCAGGUCUCUGAAGUCAAGGGGGUUAUGAUGGAAAAUAUUGAGAAGGUAAGGAGUAAGCUGCUGCUACAUACUUAGUAAUAGAUUUGUGAUUUGUCCUGUUCUCAUGCUUUUUCACUGAGCAGUUAAGUGACUUAAAUGGAUUAACACCAAUGGCUCUAGCAGUACAGAGUGUUCUUUUCUAAUAACAAAUAUAAUGUAUAUUUUGGUUGAGGAGAUUUGUCUGUUGUGCAGGUUCUUGAUCGUGGUGAGAAGAUUGAGCUGCUGGUUGACAAAACUGAGAACCUUCGGUCACAGGUUAAUCUGGCUGUAGCUGAUUGCUUGUUUAGGAGUUGAGCAAAAUGUGUGAUGUUAACUUUGUUUUGAAUUGACUUAUUGGUCUUGUUGCAGGCACAAGAUUUCCGACAACAGGGGACGAAGAUGAGAAGGAAGAUGUGGAUCCAGAAUAUGAAGAUUAAAUUGAUCGUUUUGGGUAUCAUCAUCGCAUUGAUCCUUAUCAUCGUUCUGUCAGUUUGCCAUGGCUUCAAAUGUUGAUUUGGUCUUGGAAAGUCCCUGGAAACUGUACUUUGCUGUCCCGCUGACAUGGUCGACUUGGUACAUUGGCCACAUCUUUUGAUCCUUGCAUCUCUCUCGCUUGUUUUUGUUUAAGUUUUUUUUUUUUUCCCCUCUUUUAGGUCAUCAUGCCCUUACUUGCCCUUGGCAAGGGAAUGAAUUUGUAUCUUUUCGAUUGCUUGUAUAGGUUAUAUGCUUGAACUCCUCGAAAUAGAUAAAUAUCUUAUGCUGCCUGCUGCUUUAUGUGGAUUUUAGUUUAAGAUGUAAUGGAACAAUAGUUGGAUACCUGCAGAAUUGAUCAUUCCUUUGGCUUUGUUACCUGAAAUUAAUUUCCAAUAAGAGAUUAGUCAGAGACAAGUUAAGCGAUAAGAAAAAUACACACUUUAAUAUAAUAUAUUUUGUCCAUUAGUAUGUUAAAAUUUGUGUUCAUGUGUUAACUUGUUCUUAUCAUAUUAAUGUAAGCAAAUCUUUAUUAGGAGACUAUUACACGUGUAACAAAAAAGGAAGAAAUUUUGAUCUUUUGUGGUGGUGCAGGCGGUUUGGGUUUGAAUUCAUCUUGAUAGGAGGUGGUGGUUUGAUUUAAAUUUGUAAUAAAAUAUAGAAAAGAAAAAUUAACCAUUUUCUUUUUUCGGUACAAGUACGCGAGUUUUAUUAAAGCGAAUAAAAGGAGGGUCUUGCAGAAAAGAAUAGAAAAUCGAGUGCCACGUAGUAAAGCCUAAAAAGGGUUCAUGAGAAACAAUAUUCGGCCCAGCCCAGCCCAGCCCAAAAAUUCAAUAGGGACUGGGGAGUCCUUAGGUGCAGAUGCAGGCUAUGCUCUUUGUAAAAUAUGAAUUCAGGCCUUUAUAUUUACAGCACUGUAAAAAGAGUGAGUCCAUUGUUCAUAAAGCGUAGAUUUGAGGAGAAUUAUUCGACACUUGCAAAGGAUUAUGCAAGAAAACAUAUGAAGUCAAUCGAAAUAUUAUCAUCGUUAUUUCGUGAACUUUUGGAAGGAUUCUAUUAUCAAGCCUCGAAAUUAUUGUCCUCUACAGUCCUUGUCAUUCUGAAAUGUCUCUUCUUCUCUAGCAGCAUCCGAAUAUUGGCCUUCUUUAGACACUGGCACGCUCAUUUUUUCUUCAUUUUCAUUAGCAGAGUUUUUCUGAAACUCUGUUUGGCUACCAAAACUCAAGGCUAAUGUGUGAGUGCAUUUGACUUUUCGGAUUGAAGGAUCAAACGGACCAAUGCUGCCAUUGAAGAAGUCGAAACUCCUCUAAAGCAAGUCUGCGAACUCGUCCAAUAUGAACAUGCUAAUAUCAUCUUGAGUCUAAAAAUAGAAGACAUAGAAGCCUUUUGGAAGAGGAACAAGGUACCAGUUUCCUUUGGGCUACAACUCACAUUUGGUGGGGGGGGGGGGGGGGGGGGGGGGGGGGGGGGGGGGGGGGGGGGGGGGGGGGGGGGGGGGGGGGGGGGGGGGGGGGGGGGGGGGGGGGGGGGGGGGGGGGGGGGGGGGGGGGGGGGGGGGGGGGGGGGGGGGGGGGGGGGGGGGGGGGGGGGGGGGGGGGGGGGGGGGGGAGU